CUAGAAAGCUAUAUAACCCUGCAGCCCAAGACCAGUUACUCACUGAAGCUAAGCAGGGCUGAGCCUUGCUAGUAGCUGGAUGGGAGACCACAUGGAAAAACUAGGUUGCUGUUGGAA
rfam:Danio rerio chromosome 4, GRCz11 reference primary assembly.